rnacentral:rRNA from 1 species
UACGUAGGGACCAAGCGUUGUUCGGAUUUACUGGGCGUAAAGGGCGCGUAGGCGGCGUGGUAAGUCAAUUGUGAAAUCUCCGGGCUUAACCCGGAAAGGUCAACUGAUACUGCGGGGCUAGAGUGCGGAAGGGGCAACUGGAAUUCUCGGUGUAGCGGUGAAAUGCGUAGAUAUCGAGAGGAACACCUGCGGCGAAGGCGGGUUGCUGGGCCGACACUGACGCUGAUGCGCGAAAGCCAGGGGAGCGAACGGG